rnacentral:tRNA from 1 species
GCCCACUUAGCUCAAUUGGCAGAGCACCUGACCUGUAAUCAGGCGGUUGUCCGUUCAACUCGGAUAGUGGGCUCCA